GCCUUACUGCCAGACACAAAUAACACUUUGUGCAAAAUGAUACUUACAUUUUGUGAAAUGCUUUCAUUUGUUCAUUUGAAGGUUUUAAAAACAUGGCAAAAAGUAGUGUUUGAUUACUUGCAGUAUGUAGUAUUUCCUGCCUCCAUUUUCAUGUACUUUAUUGCAAAAUAAGAUCACUGGAAGGAGACAUAUUGCUUGUGUAGCCGAACGUAUAAAAGCAAG